rnacentral:rRNA from 1 species
GACGAACGCUGGCGGCGUGCCUAAUACAUGCAAGUAGAACGCACAGUUUAUACCGUAGCUUGCUACACCAUAGACUGUGAGUUGCGAACGGGUGAGUAACGCGUAGGUAACCUGCCUGGUAGCGGGGGAUAACUAUUGGAAACGAUAGCUAAUACCGCAUAAUAUUGAUUAUUGCAUGAUAAUUGAUUGAAAGAUGCUAUUGCAUCACUACCAGAUGGACCUGCGUUGUAUUAGCUAGUAGGUGAGGUAACGGCGCACCUAGGCGAGGAUACAUAGCCGAACUGAGAGGGUGAUCGGCCACCCUGGGACUGAGACACGGCCCAGACGCCUACGGGAGGCAGCAGUAGGGAAUCGUCGGCAAUGGGCGAAAGUCUGACCGAGCAGCGCCGAGUGAGUGAAGAAGGUUGUCGGAUCGUAAAGCUCUGUUGUAAGAGAAGAACGGGUGUGAGAGUGGAAAGUUCACACUGUGACGGUAACUUACCAGAAAGGGACGGCUAACUACGUG